UAUCCAUCCACACACAUACAGACACAAGCAGACAUAUUCAAAGGCCUUGUUUUAUUUUUGUUGAUGCACAUCUUAUAAUCUCUUUUCAACACACUAUCAGUUCCUUUCAACUGAUCAUCUAGGACCUUUGCCAUCUCACAGAAUUAUGGUGUCAUUGGCAAGCCUGAAAACUCUCGUUGCUUUUUCCUGAACAUUAGGUCCCUCUCUAAAUUGUAACAUGGGAUAUGGGCUACAACAUUGUCUCACUCCCUUCUCUAUUUCUGCUUCCUUUUCAAUCCCUUUGACUCUUAUAGCGUAGUGUAGAUGAAUUAUAAAAUCUGUUGCAUGUUGUAUUUUAUCCCUACUACCUUAAAAUUGCAAAUAGUGUAUUCCUGUCAAAACUGUCAAAAGUUUUCUCUAAAUGUACAAAUGCUGUAAAAAUAGAUUUGCCUUUGUUCAGUCUGUCAUCUAAGACAACUUGUAGGGUCAUGGUUGCCUCACAUGCCUCUCUGGAACCCAAAUUAAUUGGUGUCCACCAGUUUUCCCUUUCUUCUACAGAUGAUUUAUAUCAGUAUUUUGCUACCAUGACGUAUUAAACUAAUGGUUCAGCAAUAUUUACAUUUGUCAGCAAAUGUUCUUUGAAACUGGAACUAUUGCAUUAUUCUUAAAGCCUACUGGUAUUUGCCACUAUCAUAAAUCUUGAAUAUCAGGUAGAACACUUGGCCAUGAAAUGUUCUCUUAAAGAUCUCCAUCAUUUUGAGGGAAUUUAAUUUACUUUUUCCUGCUUCAUUUGCUACAUUUUUAUAUUUUCUCCUUUCAUUAAUUAAAUUCAAUGUCUCGUAUGUAUUUCAAGGAUUUCUGCUGGAUCUUUCUCUUUGCCUAUUAGAUCUAUGCUGGCUUCACUAUUUCAUCUCUCAAAUCUGACCCAUCUCCUUAAUUUCAUUCCUUUCUGUGAUUUCAUCACUUUUAAUCUGCAUGGUUAGAAUCCACGUCAGCCCCUUUAAUGUAUUACAGUUCGAAAUCUGUUUUUAAAAUCUUUGUCUGACCAUCUUACAAUCCAUAUGAAACCUUUGAGAACCUUCAGGUUUCUUCCAUAUAUAGAACCAUUUUUCACGAUUCUCAAACUAAUUUUUACUCCACCAGGUGGGUUCUUUCAUUCUUUUCAUCCAGUUGCCCUAUUUUUUUCUUUUCUUCCUUUUCCUCUUAUGAAGUUCCUGACAUCUGCCACAAUUAAAUUUUUGUCUUCCUUAAUGUUUUGAAUUGCAAAGGAAAGUGUGAUACAGAGAUAAGACUACAAAUCAUUCUUGGCCGAGUCGCAAUGGUCAAACUCACUAAGAUAUGGCAGAAUCGGGCAAUAUCCAAGACAACGAAGAUGCACUUGGUAGAAGCAUUGGUGUUUCCUGUAUUCUUAUUCUGAUGUGAGACCUGGACUGUGAAAGGUAGUGAUAAAAGCCGCAUUGAUGCCUUCAAGAUAUGGUGUUGGUGGAGGAUGCUACGUGUACUGUGGCCACAAAAAAAGAACAAAUGUUUCAAAAACAGAACAACUUAAAAUCACAAGGUUAUCUUCUCAUGUCAGCCAAAAGUACCUUCAGUUCCUUGGGCACAUCUUGGGAAGUAAAGGGGAUAAUUUAGAGAAGAUCAUCGUGCAGGGAAAAAUUGAGGGCAGAAGACCACGUGGGAGAGCAGCAAACAGAUGGUUGGAUCAAGCGAAGAAGAUUAUCAGCCUGCUGCUUCAUGUCAUGUUAAGAAUGGCCGAAGAUUGCUGUGGAUAGAGACAUCUGUCUGAAAUUUCAACUACGUAAGAAUGAAUGAGGAAAUGAGGUCACAGCACUAACCAAUUUGUAAAACGACUAAUAAUGAAUGUUUUGAAUAAUUUUUUUAUCUCUUCAUAUAAAUAUUCUAACUCAUCAUAGGCAUAGAAACUAUGACUACUGCUAUGGCCAUUGAUUUAGUAUCCAUCUUGGCUAUGAUAACCCAAUUACAAUAUCAAACAAUCCAUGCUGUAAUCGGUAGAACACCCAGAUAUAUUUUUUCUAACAACAAGAUUCUCCUGAGUAGCUGUCGCCCAGAGAUCCACACGGGGAACAGUUUUAUGUCCAGAAUGAUGCCAUCAUCAAUUAAACUGUAUAACAGAUCUGCAGGUCCCGUUGCUUUCAGCUGUUUGCAGGACCAACUUGUAAGACUUAGUUGUUAAUGUUACAAGGACACAUCAAUCAGAUUGUUCCUGCUGCAAUGCCUGAAAAACCUGCUGCCUUUAUUUUGAUGCUAUGAAUUAGUCUUGUCUCUCCACAGAUAUAUCUUGAAUGUGGUUGUGCCUAUGAUACAGCUAUCUGCAUCCUUAAGUCAUGCAGGCCACCCACAAUGGCAAGUGCAUGGUUCAUGGGACAGUCAUCCCUGUACAUGUUGUUGUCCAUUAAAACAACAACAUCAGGAAAGACAGCAAAUAACAAAAUUUUACUUAGUGUGCAUACACAGUAUAAAAAGAAUAAUACACAAUUAAAUUUGUAAGUGAUUAGGGUUUUACAGGGUGUGAAAUUUAGCCAACAGUUUCCACCUCUGGCUGCCACAACAGCUCUGACUUGGCUGAGCUUGGGUUACAGAUUACAGGUAAGUCUUUCCAUUCUGCAUCAACUGUACACCAGAGUUCACCAGUUGUAGUGGCUGGCAAGGGGUGGCAUGCUAAUCUCUCAGCAACUCAUAACCAGAUGUUUUCUGUUGUAUCCAUAGUGAGAUAGCUAGUAAACAGAAAUAGACAUCUUGAAAAAGGUAACACAAUGGUAAGUUUGUUUACAUUAUGUUCAAGUAAUGAUUGAGUUGUACAUAACUUUGAAUGCUAUAGUUCUUCUAUGGUUUAGAGUUAUAUACAAUGAGAACAGUGUUCUUGAUAGCAUCAAAAUGGCCUUGAAUGCUGAUUCACAUAUACAUGUCUGAAUAUUAAUAAUCCUUAAUAGCAUUGUGCUACUUCGAUGUAAUGAUCCUCACUGCAGUUUUCUGCACUAAUCUCCCUAAGUCUUUGCAAGAAUUGUUAAAAUUCCAUCUUUUGCAUAGCUAUGAGUGGCACUUGAGGUUGGUAGAGAUGCUGAUGAUACCGGAUUCUCGUUGGGUGAGAGAUCUGAAUGUGCUGGAUCAAGGCAAUUCCUUGUAUCAGGGUGGGAACAGUACAGGCAACAUAUGGUCUUGCAAUAUCUUGUAGAAAGAUAAUGUCACAGAAACCUCAAAAGAAUGGCGAAGCCACCUGACUUACAAUAUCAGUAACGUAAUGGCUGAUGUCCAGUUUACCAGAUAUGAGAACCAGGGGUGACUGGUGUUCCCAAUACCAUAACAUUGGGUUCUUGGCCCAUCUGACAAUGACAAAAUGCAAUCUGGCAACAUUCAUUCUCUUCAGACUCUCUACACACGGAUAUGUCCAUUGUGAUACUGUAUGAAGAACUGGGAUUCAUCUGAAAAGACCACGUUGUUGGCACUCCUGUGUCCAGCGGGGUCACACGCACCACUGUUCACACACACCUCUCUCUGCUGCUGAGUCGAGAACACAAUAAACAAAGGAACUGUUAUGCUUCCUACCCACUGACUUGAGCUAAAUUGUCAGAUGCUACAAUUUAUGGGAUAAGUUACUACACAUGUUGUUAACUGAGUUAGUGAUAUCGAGAUGCUUUUAAUCAUUGGAACAAUUAAUGAAAUUUUAGCUGAUAACUUGCACUGGACAAAACUUGUUACUAUUCCUGUCAAGUAAAUAGAGCUGUUUAUUCUUAAAAAUAUCAUUUUAAUGUUACAGUAUUCUUUACUGUACAAUUUUUUAAGUCUGUAGUCUAAAUUUUUUACAUAUUAUCUGCACACAAAUGUAAAUAAAGAAUGGACCAGAAGGCAGAGGAGGAUUUAACACAUAUAUAUCGUGUUUGCUAUGGCUGUUUCUUUUGUUACAGGUGCAUAUCAUAACUGAUGCUUUGGAGACUGCAUGGUGAAUUACACCAAGGAAGAAUGACUGAAAAUAGUGGAAUUUUAUUUUCAAAAUAACAGGUCUAUUACUCUAAUGCAAAGAGCUUAUCAUAACCAUUUCCUAGUAAGACAUGGACCUCAGCAAUGAUGAUUUGGAAACUAAUGGCACACUUAGAGGAAAAUGGUUCUGUGAUGAACCUUCCGCUUACUGGUAGACCAUGUUCAUCUCGCAGCAAAGAGAACAUUGUAGGAGUUAGGGCCAGUGUUGAAGAAGAAUGGGAAACAUCAACAUGAAGAUGUUCUAGGGAAUUAGGGAACCCGAACAUCCUUAAGGAGAAUUUUAAAACAUAAUUUAAAUAUGUAUCUACACAAAAUACAGUUAGUGCAGGAACUGAGACCCAUGGGCCAUGAAGUGUGCCGAAAUUUUGUAAUUCACAUCCAAGAAUUAGCCAGAGAAAACAAUGAAUUUAUCCUCCAAGUUAUCAUGUCAGAUGAGACUCAUUUCCAUCUGAAUUAUUACGUCAAUAAGCAGAACUGUUGGUUCUGUGUAUGACAAAUUUAAGGAUAAAUCAUGAGCCCCAGGUGCACCCUAUCAAGUGCACAGUUUGGUGUGGGGUGACCUCGCAGGAAGAUAUUGGGCCUUAUUUCUUUGAAACUGAUAACGGUGACAAUUUGUCAAUUACUAGUGAGAGCCCAAGAUAUGACUGAUAAUUUUUUAUAUCCUGCAGUAGAAAAUCAUCCCAAAAUGUGGUUUCAGUGGGAUGGGGCAACCUCCCAUACUCCCAGAACCACAGUGAAACCUCAGAGGCAACUGUUCAGUUAGCGGAGAAUUUCAAUAAAUUCUCAUGUUAAUUGGUGGCCAUGUUCCCCUGUCCUUACAGCCUCUGAUUACUACUUGUGUGGAUACCUUAAGGAAUUUGUGGACAUGAACAAAUUGUGUACACUUCAGCAGCAUAAGGACAAUAUCCAUGCAAACACUUGUGUAUUAACCAGAAUGAGAUUUUCACUCUGCAGCGGAGUGUGCACUGAUAUGAAACUUCCUGGCAGAUUAAAACUGUGUGCCCGACCGAGACGUGAACUCAGGACUUUUGCCUUUCGCAGGCAAGUGCUCUACCAUCUGAGCUACUGAAGCAUGACUCACGCCUGGUCCUCACAGCUUUACUUCUGCCAGUAUCUCGUCUCCUACCUUCCAAACUUUACAGAAGCUCUCCUGCGAACCUUGCAGAACUAGCACUCCUGAAAGAAAGGAUACUGCGGAGACAUGGCUUAGCCACAGCCUGGGGAAUGUUUCCAGAAUGAGAUUUUCACUCUGCAGCAGAGUGUGCGCUGAUAUGAAACUUCUUGGCAGAUUAAAACUGUGUGCCCCACCGAGACUCGAUCUUGGGACCUUUGCCUUUUGCGGGCAAGUGCUCUAACAGAUUUUUCAAAGCAUCAUGUAAUUUUCAAAAUAACAGUUUGUUAUUACAAUGGUCUACGAGUUGUCGGAUGUCACCCAAAAUUGGCAGUCCACAGUGUGAAAGCAAAUGAGUACCUAAAAUCCAUGUUGAACGCAUUGUUGACUCAAACCACAGUUACACACAUCUUAUGAGUGAAAAUAUGUGCACCAGGAACUUCAAAGUUAAAGAACUUAAAUGUGUAAAAACUUUCGCAUGAUUACAGUACCUCUAAUGAAUUAACAUUGUGACCCAAUUGUGUUGUAAUUAACAAGUACUGAGAAAGGUCUUUGUCAUUGAAGUGAGCAAUUAUUGAACAUGUUGAUGUUAAUUAUGGAAUGAUUUAAAUGAUCUGGUGCAGUGUGACUGCUUCCAAUGAAUUAUUAAAGAACUGUGCUAAAUGUGAACCACUCAUUUUGUGCCACAGUUGAAAACUUGGCCACUAUGAUUGUUCAUGCUGGCCUGAAACAGCCAAAUUACUGUUCAAAGUGUAAAAACUUUUCAUCAUAAUUGAUAAUUGACCUGCGAAUAAAAAUGUAUGUGUUCAUGUCAUCCCUAAAA